rnacentral:lncRNA from 1 species
GCUAUCACCUUGACAUGUCAUGUGAAAUGAAUUACCAUGUAGAUUAAGGAUUACAAAUUAGUCUCAUGAAUAGUUGAUUGCAUGGAGGAUAUGAGGAAGGCUGAGAGUCUUUCAUUAACCCAACGCUAACGAAGAGUGAGUCUGCUCACCCUAACGAGAAAAUGUCUAUCACCCUUGCUCUCCAUUCCAACAGUGUUACAGAAGAUGAUGUGGUUAUAUUUAGCUCAGUUGAACAGAGAAUAUCUGUUGUUAUUUACAGGCAUGAAUGUUAAGGCCAACUGUAAAUAGAAUAUUUCCAUCUCUGCUUUCCUGACAUCUACAUGUCCAGAUGCUAAUGCAAGUGAAGAGGGGGAGGAGGAGCAGGGUAGCAGUAAAAGGAGCGGCUCACGUCAACAGCACAGCCUGAGACUCGAGGCUGUUCAUCACUUCCUGCAGAGUGAAUGCAAAACAGGAAAAAAGCAUGAAGAUGGCAAGGCAAGGCACAUACGAAAGAAAAAGAAAGUGAAGAAAUUCUUCACAGCUGGACAUCACAUAGUUUUACUUCUCACGGCAGCCACGACUUGACAGAUGAUGGUUUUAGUAAAAACACUUUGCUUGAUUAGACUUACAGGUUGCUGUAACCUUGAUUUUGUUUAUUUAUGACUUUGUAUAUCACCUGCAUUAAAAAGAAAGAGGAAAAAAACACUUUUACAGGAUUUAUUUGCCCAAAAAUGAAAAUUCUGUCAUUAUUUAAUCCCUGCUUUAAUACUAUCAUUAUUUACCCACAUUGAGUUUCAAACCUUUUUUUUACUAACUUGUAACACAAACAAUUAUUUUAAAGAAUUUUCACAUACAUAUUUUACAUACUGACAUUGUGAACAUAUGUAAACAGUGAACUGACAGUUUUUUAUUAUGCUCUUUUUUGAUGAAUAAAAUGUUAUAAAGAGCAGCAUUUAUUCAUUUUUUAAAAAAUGUUAAAGUAAUGUAAAAGACUCUAUAUCAUGUUCGAUCAAUUAAAUGCAUCCUUGUUGAAUAAAAAUGUUCUUUAAUUUCUUAAAAAAAAAAGGUGUCUUAUAGACCUGUGAACAAGCCAAAGUAUGUGACAAGAAAACACAUUCCUAAUGAUUUUAAUCAAUAAGUAAGUAUGUAAAUA